UCCCUUUCUGCUCUUUUGCAUAGGCCUGACAAUACUUCACCGCACAGAAUGAAUAGGUAGGGAGACAGGGGAUCACUCUGUUUGAUGCCUCUUUCCGGUUUAACAUAUCCUUGUGCUGUUUCAUUGAUAAGAUAGGAGUAGGAUACUGUCGUUAGGCAUUGCAUUAUCAGACUUGUCCAAAUUGGGCUCCCAUUAACAUAAACCCGAGCGGUACCGUCAUCCUAACGCGAAUAAGAAAAUAGAAGCUAAUUAGUUAAGGAACAAGUUUGUGUCAUUGUGAUAUGAAAACACAUAUUACCAAAUACCAAGAAACCUCCUUACGGUACAAUUUCCUCCGGCUUAUAACGAAUUUGGCCCGAAGCAACACAAAAAAAGAGAGAGAUUGAUUUCAAGACUGAAGAAACACAAUCCAAAAGAAAACCACGGACAACAUUUACCGUUUCCUCAGAAGAAAAAAAACACACAAAAUGCCACUACGGGUGUUGUCUAUGGGUGAAUUUGGUCCAACUGUUCCAAAUAUCACAACAAUAGGGUUGCACAAUGCCUCCUUUUAGAGACGAUCCCCUGAAAAUUUAGAUAAAUCUUAAAAAUAUCCAAUCCUUUCAGCUCGUCUAUGCGUGCUCUGGCAAGAUUCUGAGCUUUCCUCUGCCAAAGAAUAAAAAUCAGAUCAAAAAAAAUCUCUGAGCAGAGAAAUUGAUUCGACUAACAUCUUUUUGCUGCUGCUGGAAAAUCUCAGUCCGAUUGGCAAAGCCAAUGCAUAAGGCAGCAGCAACAGCAAAUUUAAAGGACUGUGGGCUUUUGUUUAUCCAGCCCAUAAUUGCUCAAGCUGCUAGUUCAAAGUCCGGAAUUAGUGUUUCAUCCUCAAGGUGCUCUCGAUCUUAAUAGUUAAGGUUUGCUUAUGUGUAAGACUGUCAAGUUUGUGUUGCCUGAGUUCCUUCCCUUGCAUUACCUAAUUCAACAGACAAGUAAGACAUGCAUAAAAGGUUCUCCGUUGCAGGUUUCUGGUCAAAAGAUAAGAUUUGUCUUCUUGCUAGUUAUGUUGCUUAAGCUUAAAGAACAGCAUUUGAUAUAUUAUAGAGAGAUUUCACGUGCUUAGACUGAAACUCUCUUUACAGAAUUUGGUUAUAAUCCUUCCUUCUCUUGUACUAGGUCUAUGAUGAUACCAAAGAAGAUACUGUAGAAAGGUUUGCACAUACUACAAGCUAGAAUCCAUUCCUGUUGUGCUUAUAAUUGAUCCUACUACCACUGGUCAAAGGAUGAGAAUGUGGUGUGGAAUGGUCGAGCCAGAAACUUUGCUAGAGGAUUUAGUGCCGUUCAUGGACAGUUGUCCUGGCGAACACUUUGCUUCUCUCUCAAAGAAACGGCCAAGAGGCAGCUUCUCAUUAACUCUCCUAACUCCAAACCCAAUGAGGCUGUUGCAAAAUAUGAGGAAGAAGAAUAACUGCAACGAGCACUAGUUACAACAACGGUGCUACCAACUUUCCCACCUCUGCCUGAAGAACCAAAGGGAGGUGACCGCAAAUCUCAAAACCGAUACAUGGGAAUGACAAAGAUCAUAUCUACUAAACUAUCUAAGAUGCUAUGUUAGGAUAGUUGUUUUAAAAUAUACCAAAAUUUUAAUUU